rnacentral:rRNA from 1 species
CAAGUCUAGAUGUGAAAGUCCCCGAGCUCAACUUGGGAAUUGCAUCUGAAGACUGGUCGAGCUAGAAGUUCUUGUAAGAGGGGGGUAGAAAUUUCCAUGUGGUAGCCGUUGAAAUGCCGUAGAGAUGUUGAAGAAUUACCGUUGCGGAGGCCGCCCCCUUGACCAAAAACUACCCUUCAGUUGGAAAACCUUGGGAACCAACCAGAAUUAAUUCCCUUGUAAUUCCCCGCGUUAAACGAGGUCGAUUAGAAGUUGGUGUCUUGGACCAGUGGCUUUGGAAGUUAACGCGUUAAUUGGCCCGCCUGGGGAGUACGCCCCCAAGGUUAAAAUUCAAAUGAAUUGACGGGGGCCCGCACAACCGGUGGACCAUGUGGUUUAUUUGGAUGCAACGGGAAGACCUUUCCUUAUUCUUGCCUUCCAGGGAUCCUUGCAGAGAUGAGGAGUGCCUUCGGGGAAGUUGAAACCAGGUGUGCCAGGGCGUUGUUCAGUUCGGUUUGUAAAAUGUUGGGUUAAUUCCCCCAAGAGGGCCACCCUUUUCCUUUGUUUCCCACAGGUUAUGUUGGGAACUCAAAGGAGACUGCCGGUGAUAAACCGGAGGAAGGUGGGGAUGACGUCAAGUCAUCAUGGCCCUUACGAGUAGGGCUACACACGUGCUACAAUGGCGGAUACAAAGAGAAGCGACCUCGCGAGAGCAAGCGGAACUCAUAAAGUGUGUCGUAGUCCGGAUUGGAGUCUGCAACUCGACUCCAUGAAGUCGGAAUCGCUAGUAAUCGUAGAUCAGAAUGCUACGGUGAAUACGUUCCCGGGCCUUGUACACACCGCCCGUCACACCAUGGGAGUGGGUUGCAAAAGAAGUAGGUAGCUUAACCUUCGG